CCUACGUGGUGCUGCAGUGAGGAAUAUUGGUCAAUGGGCGGAAGCCUGAACCAGCCAAGUAGCGUGCAGGAUGACGGCCCUACGGGUUGUAAACUGCUUUUAUAAAGGAAUAAAGUGAGGCACGUGUGCCUUUUUGUAUGUACUUUAUGAAUAAGGAUCGGCUAACUCCGUGCCAGCAGCCGCGGUAAUACGGAGGAUCCGAGCGUUAUCCGGAUUUAUUGGGUUUAAAGGGAGCGUAGAUGGGUUGUUAAGUCAGUUGUGAAAGUUUGCGGCUCAACCGUAAAAUUGCAAUUGAUACUGGCAGCCUUGAGUACAGUUGAGGUAAGCGGAAUUCGUGGUGUAGCGGUGAAAUGCUUAGAUAUCACGAAGAACUCCGAUUGCGAAGGCAGCUUACUAAACUGCCACUGACAUUGAUGCUCGAGAGUGUGGGUAUCAAACAGGAUUAGAUACCCGAGUAGUC
rnacentral:rRNA from 1 species